AACCAGCACCUCAAGUGGUCAGGAUGAUUAUUGGGCCUAAAGCAUCCGUAGCCGGCUCUGUAAGUUUUCGGUUAAAUCUGUACGCUCAACGUACAGGCUGCCGGGAAUACUGCAGAACUAGGGAGUGGGAGAGGUAGACGGUACUCGGUAGGAAGUGGUAAAAUGCUUUGAUCUAUCGAUGACCACCUGUGGCGAAGGCGGUCUACCAGAACACGUCCGACGGUGAGGGAUGAAAGCUGGGGGAGCAAACCGG
rnacentral:rRNA from 1 species